rnacentral:rRNA from 1 species
GACGAACGCUGGCGGCGUGCCUAAUACAUGCAAGUAGAACGCUGAAGAGAGGAGCUUGCUCUUCUUGGAUGAGUUGCGAACGGGUGAGUAACGCGUAGGUAACCUGCCUUGUAGCGGGGGAUAACUAUUGGAAACGAUAGCUAAUACCGCAUAACAAUGGAUGACACAUGUCAUUUAUUUGAAAGGGGCAAUUGCUCCACUACAAGAUGGACCUGCGUUGUAUUAGCUAGUAGGUGAGGUAAUGGCUCACCUAGGCGACGAUACAUAGCCGACCUGAGAGGGUGAUCGGCCACACUGGGACUGAGACACGGCCCAGACUCCUACGGGAGGCAGCAGUAGGGAAUCUUCGGCAAUGGGGGCAACCCUGACCGAGCAACGCCGCGUGAGUGAAGAAGGUUUUCGGAUCGUAAAGCUCUGUUGUAAGUCAAGAACGGGUAUGAGAGUGGAAAGUUCACACUGUGACGGUAGCUUACCAGAAAGGGACGGCUAACUACGUG